rnacentral:lncRNA from 1 species
UGGGCAUGUGCAGGCCCAAGUAAAGAGUUUGUGCCUUGGCAAAAACAGCCUCUACCUCCUUGUCACACUUCGGUUUGGAAAGACUGAGCAGAGAAAAGCGGGAAAAUCCCAGACAAGAACCAUCAAUACAGAAGGCUGUGUCACUCCAUGACGGCAAUGGUGGCUCAGAGGUUUGGAGAAGCUGUGUGAGGUGAGUAAGAAAGUGGGCUGUGCCUUCCUGUGGCUAUGUGCUGACUCCCUCCCUCACAAACUGUUUUCUGCCUCUUAGGGGCAAGCAUAAGCUGGGUCCGUUUGGCUGGUGAGACUCAGAAGGGAAAAGAACACUGGGCUGUUGCAUACAGGGAUGUAGGGGACUGAAUCCCUGGAACUGAGGGCUUAGGGUGAAAGAGAAGCCCCCACCACCUAGGA